AGAGACGCACGUGACUAUGAUUGUGGUGAGGAUGACGAAAGUGAUAGUCAAACUUGUCAAAUGAGAAGUCGUCCAAACGAAGAUCAUAAAUCGCCGCUUCCACAAGAUCCACUAAUUGACUGUCACCCAGAUAAGAAGGCCAACAAAGAUUCCUGUCUAGCUAGAGGGUGUUUGUGGAACGAGGACAAUGAUGCGACAAAUGCACCGCCUUGCAUCUACGCAGAAGGUCAUGGCUACUUAGUAACAGGGGAGACAACUCACACUAGCAAUGGACUACAAGCGGAAGUAGAAAGAAUAAAGACACCUAAGAUAUAUGAUAGUGAAAUCUAUGACAGACUUGAUGUUACUGUGGAAUAUCAAACAGAAUCAAGAUUAAGAAUAAAGGUUGCACCAGUGGGAGUGAAGAGGUAUGAAGUUCCCAAAGAGGCAGUCGAUAUACGUUCGCCUGAAAUCCCUCCACCUGGCGACAGACAGUUAUACGAUGUAACAUUGGUUGAAGGGAAACCCCAGUUUGGUAUUAUCGUAAAAAGAAAAGGCGAAUCUGUAGCAGUAUUUUCCACAGAUCUUCCUGGAAUGACCUACUCUGAUCAGUUUUUACAAAUAACAACUCGUCUACCCUCUGAUAAUCUGUAUGGGUUUGGUGAACAUAAUCAUCGUAGAUUUCGUCAUGAUAUGAACUGGAAAACCUGGAGUAUAUUUACAAGAAGUAUUGGUCCAAUUGGGCCUGAUAACCUAUACGGGGCUCAUCCAGUUUAUAUGAACAUAGAAGAUGACGGAAGGGCGUCUGUUGUGUUACUAAAAAACAGCAAUGCUAUGGGUA